GCCUGAUGGAGGGGGAUAACUACUGGAAACGGUAGCUAAUACCGCAUAACGUCGCAAGACCAAAGAGGGGGACCUUCGGGCCUCUUGCCAUCGGAUGUGCCCAGAUGGGAUUAGCUAGUAGGUGGGGUAAAGGCUCACCUAGGCGACGAUCCCUAGCUGGUCUGAGAGGAUGACCAGCCACACUGGAACUGAGACACGGUCCAGACUCCUACGGGAGGCAGCAGUGGGGAAUAUUGCACAAUGGGCGCAAGCCUGAUGCAGCCAUGCCGCGUGUAUGAAGAAGGCCUUCGGGUUGUAAAGUACUUUCAGCGGGGAGGAAGGGAGUAAAGUUAAUACCUUUGCUCAUUGACGUUACCCGCAGAAGAAGCACCGGCUAACUCCGUGCCAGCAGCCGCGGUAAUACGGAGGGUGCAAGCGUUAAUCGGAAUUACUGGGCGUAAAGCGCACGCAGGCGGUUUGUUAAGUCAGAUGUGAAAU
rnacentral:rRNA from 1 species